UGUAAAGUUCAAGCUCCGAUUAUGAGGGCGACCGCGAAUGGCUCAUUAAAUCAGUCAUAAUCUACUUGAUUGUUUAAAGGUUAUAUGGAUAACUGUGGUAAUUCUAGAGCUAAUACAUGAUCAAAAGGAACGAUUGUUUGGUUGCAAAAUUAGACAAAAGUUCUGCGUUUAUUAGACUAAGACCAAUGGUUAGCCGUUAAAAGCUAAUCCAUUUGUUGUGGUGACUCUGAAUAAAUAAUGGGUGAAAGCCCAUGUUGCCGACCUGACAUUUCAAAUACGAGCAAUCGUAGUCAGGCAAAUCAAUCGAGUGUCUGCUCUAUCAACUGUGGAUGGUAGGGUAAUUGCCUACCAUGGUGAUGACGGGUAACGGGGAGUUAGGGCUCGACUCCGGAGAACAAGCCUGAGAAACGGCUAGUAGGACUAAGGUCUGCAGCAGGCGCGAAACUUACACAAUGCUAGAUUAAAAUUAGCGAUGUAGUGAAGAAAAAUAACGAUGUACUUUCAUCUACAAAUGAUAGUACAAUUGGAAUGAGACGACUAUAAACCAGUUAGUCGAGUAACAAAUGGAGGGCAAGUCUGGUGCCAGCAGCCGCGGUAAUUCCAGCUCCAUUAGCAUACAUUAAAGUUGUUGCGGUUAAAAAGCUCGUAGUUGAAUUUUAGGCGAGCUCUAUUGGAUUGCAAUCGUUAAGACUAUCUUGCUUCGGCUUGUUUAGUUGGUUGUAUCAUCCUAUAGGAACUCGCUGUUUCGUCACUUAAUCGAGUGCGAAGCGGGCUGAAACAGUGGUUUAAACUUCGCGUUUGCCUUGUUCCAGCAUGUUUACCUUGAGAAAAUUAGAGUGCUCACAGCAGGCAGUUGGGAUGUAAAAGUCUCUUUAUGCUUGGAUAAUGUUGCAUGGAAUAAUAGAAUACGGCCUCGGUUCUAUUCUGUUGGUCUUAUAGAACAACAAACAAGUUGGUUAAAGCGACAAAAAGUUCGUUUGUGAGUGUGGCUCUAAGGAUCUUUCUUCUAACUUUUUUUGUUAUGUUGCCUGGAACCUUAAAAUUUCAGAGCCAUGCAAGUCUAGUCUAGUCUUAUUGUAUGUUUGUUAUUCUUAAAGUCAUUUAAAGCACUCCUAACUGGGCUAGCUUUCUAAUCAACUGAGGCAAUGGUUAAAAGAAAUAGUCGCGGCGGCAUCAGUACUGCAUCGUGAGAGGUGAAAUUUGGGGAACCGUUCAAGACUAACUGAAGCGAAAGCGUUUGCCAAGGAUAUUUUCAUUAAUCAAGAACGAAAGUUAAAGGUUCGAAGGCAAUCAAAUACCGCCCUAGUUCUAACCAUAAACGUUGCCAACUAGCAAUUGGGUUGCAAUUCCUUUAGGACGUUUAGUCUAAACAACUAAACUCCCAUUAUGAUCCACCCAGCGGCUCUCGUAGGGAAACCAAAGUUGGGUUCCGGGGGAAGUAUGAUUGCAAAGUUGAAACUUAAAGGAAUUGACGGAAGGGCACCACCAGGAGUGGAGCCUGCGGCUUAUUUUGACUCACCACGGGGAAACUUACUAGAUUAGAACUCUGGAAUGAUUGACAGAUUGAUAGCUCUUUCUUGAUUCAGAGGAUGGUGGUGCAUGGCCGUUCUUGAUUCGUACUCCGAAGCGUCUGCUUAAUUGCGAUAACGAGUGAGACCUCACCCAACUAACUAGUCGCUUGUGCGCUGUGGGGCGCUCAGUUUAUUGUUAGAACAAUCGGUAUAUUUGUUAGGGGAAACUCUUUCAGAUAUGCCACUAGCAUAAAUGCCUCUGCUUGCAGCGGACUUCUAGAGGAUAACGGUGUUUAGCCGUAAGAAACGAG
rnacentral:rRNA from 1 species